rnacentral:rRNA from 1 species
AGAGUUUGAUCCUGGCUCAGAUUGAACGCUGGCGGCAUGCCUUACACAUGCAAGUCGAACGGCAGCACGGGUACUUGUACCUGGUGGCGAGUGGCGAACGGGUGAGUAAUACAUCGGAACGUACCUUAUCGUGGGGGAUAACGCAGCGAAAGCUGUGCUAAUACCGCAUACGCCCUGAGGGGGAAAGCGGGGGAUCGAAAGACCUCGCGCGAUUAGAGCGGCCGAUGCCUGAUUAGCUUGUUGGUGGGGUAAAAGCCCACCAAGGCGACGAUCAGUAGCUGGUCUGAGAGGACGAUCAGCCACACUGGGACUGAGACACGGCCCAGACUCCUACGGGAGGCAGCAGUGGGGAAUUUUGGACAAUGGGGGAAACCCUGAUCCAGCAAUGCCGCGUGAGUGAAGAAGGCCUUCGGGUUGUAAAGCUCUUUUGUCAGGGAAGAAACACCGGCUCUAACACAGUCCGGGAAUGACGGUACCUGAAGAAUAAGCACCGGCUAACUACGUGCCAGCAGCCGCGGUAAUACGUAGGGUGCAAGCGUUAAUCGGAAUUACUGGGCGUAAAGCGUGCGCAGGCGGUUAUACAAGACAGGCGUGAAAUCCCCGGGCUUAACCUGGGAAUGGCGCCUGUGACUGUAUAGCUAGAGUGUGUCAGAGGGGGGUAGAAUUCCACGUGUAGCAGUGAAAUGCGUAGAUAUGUGGAGGAAUACCAAUGGCGAAGGCAGCCCCCUGGGAUAACACUGACGCUCAUGCACGAAAGCGUGGGGAGCAAACAGGAUUAGAUACCCUGGUAGUCCACGCCCUAAACGAUGCUGACUAGUUGUUCGGGAUUUACAUCCUGAGUAACGUAGCUAACGCGUGAAGUCAGCCGCCUGGGGAGUACGGUCGCAAGAUUAAAACUCAAAGGAAUUGACGGGGA